rnacentral:rRNA from 1 species
UCGAGAAUAAUUCACAAUGGGGGAAACCCUGAUGGUGCAACGCCGCGUGGAGGAUGAAGGUCUUCGGAUUGUAAACUCCUGUCAUUGGAGAGUAAGACCUGGCGGUGAAUAGCCGACAGGGUUGAUAGUAUCCAAAGAGGAAGGGACGGCUAACUUCGUGCCAGCAGCCGCGGUAAUACGAAGGUCCCAAGCGUUGUUCGGAAUCACUGGGCGUAAAGGGAGCGUAGGCGGCGUGGUAAGUCAGAUGUGAAAUCCCGGGGCUCAACCCCGGAACUGCAUCCGAUACUGCCAUGCUUGAGGGUUGGAGAGGUAGCUGGAAUUCUCGGUGUAGCAGUGAAAUGCGUGGAUAUCGAGAGGAACACUCGUGGCGAAGGCGAGCUACUGGACAACAUCUGACGCUGAGGCUCGAAGGCUAGGGGAGCAAAAG